GAAAGGAGAAGAAGAUGAUCAUCUUAAGAAUCUAACAACCAUUAACUAUUUUGCUUAAUCCUCAGGUUUCCAUUGUACCAGAGCUAAUGUAUGGCGGCCACCACAGGCAACAAGUUUGGCAAUCCAACGGCCAUGCUCAGCCCUAAGAGGAGGUGCAAUGUCAAUAGGAACUUCCUCCGGUUGCCCGGUUGUUACCUUCCUUCCAUAUCCGAGCCGCCCAUGGUCGCCUCGCCCAAACGAAAACAUGCGGCCGUCACUGGUUAGUGCAACUGAAUGUGUGCCUCCACACGAUACCUGAACAAUGUCCUCUCCAGACAGAAGUUGAACCUUCUGGGGAACCAUUUUGCUGCUCUUGUC
rnacentral:misc_RNA from 1 species